rnacentral:rRNA from 1 species
GUGCCAGCAGCCGCGGUAAUACGGAGGAUGCGAGCGUUAUCCGGAUUUAUUAGGUUUAAAGGGUGUGUAGGCGGACGAUUAAGUCAGUGGUGAAAUCUCAGAGCUUAACUCUGAAACUGCCAUAGAUACUGGUUGUCUUGAGUACAGUUGAAGUAGGCGGAAUGUGUAAUGUAGCGGUGAAAUGCUUAGAUAUUACACAGAACACCGAUUGCGAAGGCAGCUUGCUAAGCUGUUACUGACGCUGAUGCACGAAAGCGUGGGGAGCGAACAGGAUUAGAUACCCUAGUAGUCC